rnacentral:rRNA from 1 species
GACGAACGCUGGCGGCGUGCUUAACACAUGCAAGUCGAACGGCAAGGCCCUGCUUUUGUGGGGUGCUCGAGUGGCGAACGGGUGAGUAACACGUGAGUAACCUGCCCUUGACUUUGGGAUAACUUCAGGAAACUGGGGCUAAUACCGGAUAGGAGCUCCUGCUGCAUGGUGGGGGUUGGAAAGUUUCGGCGGUUGGGGAUGGACUCGCGGCUUAUCAGCUUGUUGGUGGGGUAGUGGCUUACCAAGGCUUUGACGGGUAGCCGGCCUGAGAGGGUGACCGGCCACAAUGGUACUGAGAUACGGCCCAGACUCCUACGGGAGGCAGCAGUGGGGAAUAUUGCACAAUGGGCGGAAGCCUGAUGCAGCAACGCCGCGUGCGGGAUGACGGCCUUCGGGUUGUAAACCGCUUUCGCCUGUGACGAAGCGUGAGUGACGGUAAUGGGUAAAGAAGCACCGGCUAACUACGUG